rnacentral:lncRNA from 10 species
UGUGUUUCUAAUUUAUAGUUUAAAUUUAUUUUUGUUUCUAAUUUAUAAUUUAAAUUUAUUUGUAAAAAGUUAAAUGAGAGUGGGUCUUUCUCUCAUGUUCACUCUGGCAUCUUUUAGCAUUUCUUUAAUUUGAUAAUUAUAGGACGUUAGCAUGCAUAUCGAGUUUGCCCUUAUGUGGUGGGAGUUCAAACACACAAAGACCCACUGUAUGCACACAACUGUUCUUGCUGGUUUGGGAUAGGCUGCCAUGCUUUUUUAAUGUUAGUACAGCCUGUAUAUUCAUUACGGAAUUCAGAUAAAAUUUCCUUAUGUUCUGCUGUUAUGUUUGAUCGAAUCCUAAUCACAGUGAGCUCUUCAUUAGCUCAAUAUGUGGUUUGCCCUCUGGAAACAGCCUUUCCCCCUUUUUCUGUGUAUUGGGGAUGGGAGUAAUAACAUUUUGGGGAGGUUUUUAAAUCUCCCAGAAGAGGAAAGUGGCCUGCUUUGGCAGGUGUGUGCAGGAUAGAAUAUGUUUCAUUUGUUCCGGUGCCAAGAAUGAGCGCUGUACUACGGUAGUUCCCUUAGGAUUUGUAUGUGCUCUAGGCUCAUGAAGAUACUGCCUCAUGAGCUGUGGCAGUUGUACUCUUUUUUGAUGACCUGAAAAGGGAUUAUUUCUGAGGAAUGAAAGGCUCCCAUCAUGACUGUGGAUGUGGAAAACCUUUUCUAGCUGAGAGCAUUUAUAUCUACAAUACAUUUUAAAGUCAGAGUUCAUGUUCCCUGUUUUAAUCACAUGACUACAUGUCCCAGUACACAAAAGGGCACUGGUUGGCGUUCUCCUUAAUGUAUUUAGUAAAGAUCAGAAGAAAUCCUUUAAGAGUUUAAAUGCCCCUGGAACAGGCAUAUACAGGCUCUAGUCAAGAAUGAAUUCGAGUGAAGGAAAGCUGUGUGACACCUGGCAUUCCUCUGUGUUCAUGGAGCUUAUUUGAGGCUAGAAGAUGGAUUUUACCAUCUAGACCUCUCUGGCUAAUAGCUAGUCUUCAACCAUCUGACAUAGGAAUUUACUUCUUUUCCUUGAAUGGAGAACACUUUAAAAAUAAUAACAAACAUUAUUAUAAACUAAUAUAUGUGAGAGUACUUAGUUGAAACAAAAAGGAGUUUUAGUAGACAGUAUUAUACUACAUUUGAAAAUCAAGGAGCAGUUUAUGCAACGUAAAACGUUUACAAACUGCAGCACAAUCUACUGUUCGUGAAUGUCAAAGUGUCAUGAGGAAAGUGUCUAUACAAUCACAGAGUUAUAUUUCCUCACAAAGUUCUUUACAAAGAGUGAAAUAUGUUUUUAUACCUCUCAGUUUCAGUUAGAGGCAUAUUUUGUGUAAUAUUUAUGGCUUAAAAUGGACUAAAGGUCCUGUUCUUGCCUUGUCUGAACUUGCCGCUUUUGCAUUCUUUGAGUUCAGUUUAAAGACAGUUACUUUAAGCCCAUUUUAAACCCUCAGGCUAGAAAUCGUACCACUGUUAAUUAGCCACAUUAUUUGGUCUAACAGUUUAUCAUUCUGAAACUGAGCUUACCUAAUACAUUGAUAAAUUAUUUCAAAGGUAUUUUUAUAGUUCAAAUCGCUUCACUUUUACCCUGACACGUAUAAAUGACUAGGAAUGACCUUCAGAUAGCAUUUAGCAACUGUAACCAAUCUGACAAUAAUGUGUUCAUCAGGUACCUGUGGAUUAAAUCACAUACUGGCAUAUUUAAGCUGAAUGUCAGUCUGAAAAAUAAAUGUACUAUAUUAACUCAAAUACCACUCUCUGUGUAGGUAUUUUGUCAUAUGUUUAAGAAAAAGCUAAAGAGAAUGGAAAUCCUAUGACAAUAACUAUGACAAUAACUAUGACAAGUCUUUCUUCAAAGUGCAUGCAGUCUUUUGCAGUACCUCAUUCAGCCAAGUAUUUGUUCUCUACCUCAUUCAGUAUAAGGCAGCCUUUAAUUUGCUUAGAAGGCAACAUUAGAAGGUUAGAGUUCAGCAGGAACAUAGAAUUUUAAAAUGUGACUUCAACUGAAUAAAUUUGAAUUUCUGUAGGGAGUAAAGAAUCAAAACACCUAUUUAAAGACUGCAAAAUAUGAUAAUUAUUUUUAAAGUAAUUGAUUAAACCUGGUAGGUUUUCCCAAAAUGAAAAACAAUCAGUUCUAAAACCAAAGCUGAUUUUUAGAAAAUGUGAAAAUGUAAAUCAACCCUAUCCAUAAUAGAUUCUCUAAAACUUUAUCUUACAGUCACUUUCAAAUAACUAUUCAAAAAUGUAACUGCUAUAUUAACGUCUUAAAAUAAUUUAAAACAUUUUAAAAUAUGAAUACUGUAGUUUAAAACAAAGAAUCUAGGGGAAGGAAAAGUAGACAAAGAAAUGCCAAUUCCAGUCCAAAGCUGUAUUUGCCAAGUUUUCUUAGAAUGACUUUUACCGAUUUAUGAAUUCUUAUACACAGAAUGCAUAAUGGAAAUACUGAUUUUUGUCUAAAGUGGCAUUAUUGACUGCUGCUGUGAUGCUACUAUAAUGUAAUACAUUAUUAAAUUG